GCCGCCUCUUUGUCUGCUCCGGGACUUGGAACAAAAGGGGGAACUCUGAUGAACUCUCUCCUCCCCUCUUCCCCGGACGCCCGGGUAUCUCCCUCUCGCAACUUUGCCGCCGCGACUUUCUCCGCUGUCAGGCCACACAAAAGUGUCCGAGCGCCUCGCGGACAGCAACGAGGGAAAGGUCUCCAAAAAGUGCGACCAAGUGGGGAAGAAGGCGUGAUUACCACUGUCAGCGUCUAGAACGCAUCAUGAGUACGCUGAGUUCCUCUGUACUGCAUUGUUCUUAAGGAUCAGUGAUCUUUAUGGACGUACAAUACAACAUCGAGUCAUUCCUGGAUGAAAAGUUAUCAAACUUCGUCCUUUGGAGUUGCUUAAAAGUUAAGAUGUUGGAAUUUUUGAUAAUGCCUUCCCUAUGUGGAUUACUACAAUUUGAUCCCUGGGAAUUCUCCACCUUAAAGAAGACUAUUUUGCUAUCUGGAAACCCAUGCCCAUGUCUCUGACUGUGAAUCAGAAUUGCUUUCUUCAUAGUCUGACUGGGAGAAUUUUUAAACAUUGGAAUGUCCUUCUGAGGUGGGCUAUGGAAUGUCAUUACUCUCAGGGGACUACAGAAGCGUCCGCACCGUGCAUGUUCAGAAAUGCUGUGAGGACAGAAAUAUUAUGUUCUUAUAAAGGAGAAAGCAGAAGCUCAGAUUUCAAGGACUUGGGCCCAAACGGCGUUCAACUGGAAAGCUGGUCAUCCCUGAGGUCAUCGCUGAGCAUCCUUAACUGCCCCUGAUCUGUGGAUAGCUGCUCUGUUGUCCAUUUCAUUAGAUGCCCUUAAAACUAACAGAAAAGGGAAACAGCUGACGGCACGUAACACUGCAGUGCUGAUCUUGGGGGACCUGUAGAGAACAACAUCAAGUGCAGGAGUGCCACGUUCCCAGGAGAUGUGCCAUCUGACUGUAAGUUGCAGAUGUAUGCCUAGCUCGACUGCUUGAGAAAGUUGCCCAGUUUUACAGCCAUUGAUUUAUCUGUAUGUAUGUGGCGUCCUAAAUAUGGCUAUAUUAAUUAUUUUAAAGUUUCCUCUAAAAGUCUGCCUCAUGGCUUGAAUGGAGAUGUGGUCAUUUGUGCUAAUUGCAUUUUAGAGUCUCUUAUGUAUUGGUGACAAUAAGCUAAUGUUUACAACUUUUGUUCACAUCAGGUACCAUUAGGCGCUUAAUUAUGUGACAUUGUGCUGCCUAGCUGUACUUUGCAAAUACCAAAAAGCAUCACUCUCUCCCCCCCAGUGCUGUGCAUGUCUGGGCCACCCUGACGUGGCAUAGUUGCAGCUUCUUAUCAAGAUCACAGGUGUGCCCCCAUGACCCUUGCUACCUAACCCCAGGAUCUUAGCUUGAGCAUGCUCUGCCUGACUCCCAGGGGGUGAUUUGAAACAGAGAUAGUGUUGCAGUGGGAGCUUUGCCAUGAGGCUUCUGAGAAUGAGGCAAAUCAGGAGCAGUGUGACCUGUUCAUGUCCAGGUUCCCAGACAGCUUGGGACAGUUUACCUUUUGAAAAGAGAAGCCUUCAGGAGAAAAAAAAAGCUAAUGACCUAUAAGCAGAGAGUCUCAGAGCCUGGACACUCAGACGUCCCCUUGCUUUGCAGAGGAUGAUGCUGAGUCCCGAACAAGGAAGGGAGGCACACAAAGAAAGGCUACCCCAAAGCUGGGCUCUGAGUUCAAGAAAAACCAAGCCCUCCUUUCCAAUCUUUCUUCUUAGCCUUUUGAUCUAAGGAAAAAAUUGCAUAGUCUAAUAUGCAGUAUCUUUCCAUACUUGGAAAGAUUAAUCUGUCAGAUUAAUGUUAGGAGGGGUGGAGGCGUCUUAGAAUCUCAUCGUGGGGUGAGUUUUACUGUGACGCAGGAUCUCCCAAUGAGCUGGUGUUCUGUCAGGACCGAAUUGCCAUCGCUCCUUCCCUUCUAACUAAGAAUGUGAACAGCCCCAUCGUGCGGGCUGCUGAUUGACAUCAAGUAACUCUGUAGUCAUGGCUCUAGCUAAAAAUGUGAAAGAAACUAGGUCUUUUCAACCCAAAGGUUCUCUUCUGUACAGUUAAUUAAAGACAUUUUCAGAAGACAUUUGGAUUAUGGGAAAGCAAUGAUAGCACGUUAUGACAUUUAUUUCAUUCCUUACCCUAAGAAUCUCAGUAAUUGGUUCACCCAUUCAAAACCGUUAUGUUAUCUGAGGGUCAAGACUCCCGAACCCCCGUUGGAACUCACCUGAUUUAUCUAAUUGGCAUAUUCUUUGAAAAACAACUCUAGACACAGGAACUUUUUGAUUCCUGAAGGUACCAUUCACUUGUUUUAAGACAAUUUAAUGUAAAACGUAUCUAAUUUCAGUGACAAUCUUUAGGAAGCUUUAGCCAGGGGCUUCCAUUUUAUUUACACCAUGGUAUUAAAGAACAGAUUUUAGAAAUUUAAUUAAAAUUCCACACAAACUUUGGAAAUGCUGGGCAGCUCAACUUACCUAUUGUUGAGGUUGUCACUUUGCAGCUGAAGAAACUAAGGCUUGGAAAAAGAUGAUAGCUUAGCUCUGAUCGUACAACAAAUACAGAGAUAGUUAGUGGCAGGAUGACUUUCGGAAUGCAGAGCUUUUGACUUCCAGUCCACUGGUCUUCCUCCUGGGCAAGGCUAUUGUAUGCAGUUGGAGGUGUUUCAUUCUGUGCGGUGCAAUUGCGAUACAGGGGAAACAGAAGGUUGUAUUUGUUGCCUUCUAAGAACUCAUACCCUCAUGAGGAUUCUCUCUUUCCAUGGAAGAGCCGUUGUGUGUAUUUACAAAUACAUUGUUUCCCUUUGUGGUAGUGUAAUAUGUCUCCUUUUCUUUUUAUUUAUGUUUUUUUUUUUUUUUUUUAGUAUAACCAAUUUCUAUUUUUUAAAUAAGAAAACAUUUAAAAAAAUCCUGAAGAGUAUAAACUGGGCUGUAAUAUUUUCCCCACUAUUUUCUUUUUUUUUUUUUUUCAUUCUUAAUUUUUAUUUAUUUAUUUUUUUUAAUUUUUAUUAUUUUUUGCUUUUUAAAAAAAUUACUCAAAUGAAUUUAUCAUGUCUGUAGUUGUAUAAUGAUAAUAACAAUCUGAUUUCACAGGAUUUCCAUCCCACAGCCCAAGCACACCCCCUCACCCCUUAAACUGUCUCCUCUGGAGACCAUAAGUUUUUCAAUGUCUGUGAGUCAGCAUCUGUUCUGCAAAGAAGUUCCGUCUGUCUUUUUUUCAGAUUCCACAUGUCAGUGAAAGCAUUUGAUGUUGGUGUCUCAUUGUAUGGCUGACUUCACUUAGCAUGAUAAUUUCUAGGUCCAUCCAUGUUGCUAAAAAUGCCGGUAUUUUGUUCCUUUUAAUGGCUGAGUAAUAUUCCAUUGUGUAUAUGUACCACAUCUUCUUGAUCCACAUCUCUGUCCAUGGACAUUUAGGUUGUUUCCAUGUGUCGCUAUUGUAAAUAGUGCUACAAUGAACAUUGGGGUACAUGUGUCUUUGUGAGUCGUGGUUUUCUCUGGAUAGAUGCCCAGGAGUGGGAUUGCUGGAUCAAAUGGUAGUUCUCUGUGUAGUUUUCUGAUGAAUCUCCAUACUGCUCUCCUCAGUGGUUGCACCAAUUUACAAUCCCACCAACAGUGUAGUAGUGUUCCUUUUUCUCCACACCCUCUCCAGCACUUAUUGUUUGUAGACUUUUUGGUGAUGGCCAUUCUGGCUGGUAUAAGGUGGUACCUCAGAGUGGUUUUGAUUUGCAUUUCUCUAAUAAUGAGUGAUGUUGAACAUCUUUUCAUGUGUUUCUCAGCCAUCUGUAUAUCUUCUUUGGAGAACUGUCUGUUUAGAUCUUCUGCCCAUUUUUGGAUGGGGUUGUUUGUUUUUUUGGUAUGGAGCUGCAGAAUUUGUUUAUAAAUUUUGGAGAUUAGUCCCUUGUCCUUCGAUUCACUUGCAAAGAUUUUCUCCCAUUCUGUGUGUUGUCUUUUCGCCUUGUUUAGGGUUAUUUAUGUUUUAAAUGCCAUAGAAUCUUCCCAUCUCUCAACCAAAAACAAACCAGAAAUGGUUAUAUAAUUGCCUAAAGCCACUGUCCAGUGAUUUCGGAGGAACAUGUAUGAACAUAGGCCCAGGUGAACCCAGUGAGGUGCUGGUGUGAUGUGCCCACCAAGAAAGCAAAGGCAGAUGAGGCUGCACUGAUGGAGAUCUCGUCCCUGAGAAGGAAGCAGGUGAUAAUACUGUUUUCUCUGUGUGGCCACCUUGUGGGGCCUUGGGUUUACUGUACAUACCAUUCCAAGAGCUACUGAUAAAUUGGAAUGUAUUCAUAAGCUGGAAAAUGGGAUGCUGAGUGGUAGAGACGUCAGAAAGUAGUGGCUAGAGAAACUGCAGAUGUUGCUAAAGAAACUGCAGAUGUUUUGUGUAGAGAAGACCAUCAUCUAAGUAGGGGUUGGUAGAGUCCCUCUCAUGUUUGAGGGACUAUCAUGUGAGAAAGCAUGCUAGGCUAGAGCUGCCAAACCUCUAAAUUGAGGGCCAAUGCACAGAAGCUCCAGUGAGGUUCCUAUUACCAUGGAAUCCGACCUUUUGGCUCAGGGCUUGCAAAGAUGAAACAGCCCAUCUCCCUCCCAGGGCACUGCAUUUUCAGUCGCUGGAGGUGUUCCCUCCAGGCGUGGACGCUUGACUGGAGGAGGUAUUUUAAAGGGCAGCAUUCACAGUUCAGAUUUGCAGUUGGACCAGAUGACCUUUGAGGUGCUUUCCAGCACCUGGGGUUUUGUGAUUCUAUUUCUAUUAUGCUUCAGCGCUGGGUAUGUGUCACAUUGUUUGAACCAAACACUGGACAGGAGCACAGUUUGGAAUGUUGAUGGCGCUCACAUCUAUUUUGUGUUUCAAUUUCUGGAAGCGGUCUUUGUCUUAGAGGCAGUUUGGUCCCUGACCUUCUGUAACAUUUGGAGCCCAGCCACACUGUCUUUGUUUACUGUAAAGAGCAUGGAAAAACCGACUUCCUGACAGGGCUCUGCCGAGUCUAAGGUCAAACCACUCACAGGUGAACAAACACAGUCCUUCCACCUUAAAAUCGCCAUUUGGCCCCUGUAAAAUGGAUCAGGGUAAUAAUACUGGGUGAGAGAAAGAGGGGAAACCAGGGCUGUGCCAGCAGCCAGCCGUUCGUCACUUGUCACUUUGCUUUGUGAAGAGCUAAUCUUAAUUCGGUAUCCAUUUGGGGGAGGUUAGAAAACAUGGCAUGUGAUUGUAGGUCCUCUAGAGACCAAGUAAAUAAGCCUGUAGAUCCUUCCUUACACCGUACUCAUUGUCAUGUCCCUGGAUUGCAAAGACAAAGCAUGGCAUUCUUAUUCACAUAAGGGAUUUAAGAGUCACACGCAUUGACCAUGAGUAGCAUCCAGGCUUCUAUGACAAGACCUCCAAGUGUCCUAGAUAGGCUGAAUUCCUUUGAAGAAGGAAUAUCCACUUGUUCCUUGACUAGCCUCUGCUAGCCUUCACUGUCGUCAAAAGCAUUAGGUCCCCUUUGUCAAAAGGAGGGAAGUGUCUUCCUGGGUAAGGAUUAUCCUAAAGCUCUGUAUGAGCCUAGACAGUGCCUCAUUCCUUUUCUUCUCCUCUCAUCAUGCUUCUCUAUCAUCUUAUAUUAGAAGACCCCCCAACAUGUUUGUGUGUCCCUGAAUAAACAAUGACCUUGUUCCCCGUUGACUCAAAAUCACUGAUUUGCCAGAUCCAAGUUUCCUUCUUAAUAUUUAAAGAUAAAUUACUGGAAUUGAUCCAAAGCAAUAGAAAAAUAUUCCUGGCAUAAAUGAACAUUUCCCCCCUUUUUCCUUCAAGAAUAUAGGAAUACUUCUGUAUUUUUUUCCUUUUUUUCCCCCUUGGUGUCUAGUGUAAGUAGGCUCUCAAAAUGCCCUACUGAUCUAACAUUGGUUUUGAACUCUACUUAAAGAUGAUAUACUAGCCUUUUACUAAAAUAUAUCUGGGUAUUAAAUGCCUGGUUCUUUACUGCUGAUGAGAAAGAUUAUUAACACUUUUUUUCCCUAGCUGUAAUAUGAAGCAAUAACACCCGUUUUUACUUCCAGAGCCAGAGGCAGUAUGUCAUACUAACCUUCAUUAACUGCCUAAGAAAUGAGGUACAUUCGUUAAUUGAGUAUUCUGGUUAGCUAAGAUCGUAUGCAAAGGUUGAUAAACUUGUGUGGUUCCCUUGCUUUGCCACAUAGCAAGCAAAAAAAAAAAAAAAAAAAAAAAAAAAAAAAAAAAAAAAAAAAAAAAGAAUAAGAAUGGAGGUCUCGUCAGGGCUCAGCAGAAACGACUCUGACUAGCAUCCAUGAGGACACAGGUUGGAUCCACCACCUCACUCAGUGGGUUAAGGAUCCAGCAUUGCCGUGAGCUGUGGUGUAAAUUGCAGAUGCAGCUUGAUCUCACUUUGCUGUGGCUGUGAUGUAGGCUGGUGGCUACAGCUCCAAUUCGACCCCUAGCCAGGGAACCUCCAUAUGCUGCAGGUGUGGCCCUAAAACGACAAAAGAAAAAAAAAGAAAAA
rnacentral:lncRNA from 1 species